rnacentral:lncRNA from 1 species
GAAUAAAGUCAAUAGAGAGAUACACAUGAAUUCCGAUGCUUUCUCAAAGAUGCCUAACUUGAGAUUCUUGAGAAUCUAUGGAGAUGAGAACAAAUGUAUGGUCUCUCAUUUAGAGGGUGUGCCAUUUGCUGAAGUGAGGCACCUCGAGUGGGCUCAAUGUCCUUUGAAAACGUUGAAUAUAUGUGCGGAGAAACUUGUUUCACUUAGAAUGCCUUGCAGCAAGGUUGAACAACUUUGGGAUGAUGUUCAGGUAUGUAUUUAUUUGAAAUUCUUUCAGUAAUAAAUUCUAAAUACAAUUGAUGCUAUAAUUAAUAUAUGUGAUAGUAUCUGUUUAUUUAUAAAGAUGAUGAUGAUAAUAAUAAUAAUAAUAAUUUUUUGGGGCACAGGAUCUUGUUAACUUAAAAGAAAUAGACCUCAGUGGAUCCGAGUCGUUAACGAAACUCCCAGACUUGUCACAGGCCAAAAAUCUUAAGAUUCUGAUGUUAGGCGGCUGUUUAAGUUUGAUGGAUACUCGCUCAUCUAUUCAAUAUCUAAAUAAACUUGAAGUUCUUUAUCUACGAAAGUGCGAAAGCCUGACGAGUCUUCCAAUUAGCAUUCCUUUCAAAGAUAUCAUUAACUUCCCAGGUGGAAUUGUUAGAGUGCAAUUUAUGCACUAGUUUUGCAUUAUUUACUUCCCUUAAUAUCAAUGUUUUGCACUUAAUAAUAGUGAUUUACUUGUGUUUUACUUUUGUAGGUGCAAUUCUAUUGAUUGAUGAUAAAAUUGAGCUAUAAGAUGAUGUUUAAGGAUGAUUGUUCUCUUGGAGAAAUUAUGAGCGUCAGAAGAACUUUGUUGAUAAGGCGUGGGCGCGUGCUGUCAACUGCGGACCUGCAGUUUUAGUUUAACGUGUUUUGUAUUUUUGUGGGUCUGAGGGUGUUUGCAAACUAGGGAUUUGGGGCAUCGGUGGUAUAGGCAAGACAACAAUCGCUGGUGCUGUUUUUAACAAAAUCUCUAGACAUUUUGAAGGUUCUUACUUUGCGCUUAAUGUUAGAGAAGCAGAAGAAACUGGCGGAAUAAAGGACUUACAAAAGAAACUUCUGUCUGAGCUAUUGAAUGAUGGAAAUAUGAGGAACAUCGAGUCUCAACUCAACAGACUUGCUCGCAAGAAGGUUCUAAUUGUUUUUGAUGAUGUGAGUCAUCGAAGACAAAUAGAAUCAUUAAUUGGAUGCCUUGAUGAGUUAGCUUCAGGGAGUCGAGUAAUAAUAACAACAAGAGAUAAACAAGUCCUUAAAAAUUGUUGGGCCAAUCAAAUAUAUCGGAUGAAGGAAUUAGUAUAUGCUGAUGCUCAUAAGCUUUUCUGUCAGUGUGCUUUUGGAGGAGACCAUCCAGAUGCAAGUCAUACAGAGCUCACAGACAGGGCAAUCCAAUAUGCACAGGGAGUUCCUUUAGCUCUUAAAGUUUUGGGUUGCCAUCUAUGCGGAAGGAGCGAAGAGGUAUGGGAAAGUGCAAUGAGAAAACUGGAAAAAAUUCCUCACGAUGAAAUCCAGAAGGUGUUAAAAAUAAGUUAUGAUAGCUUGGAUGACUCUCAGAAGAAUGUUUUUCUAGAUAUUGCAUGUUUCUUUGAAGGAGAGCAUAGAGAUGAGGUGACAAGCUUUUUUGAUGCUAGUGGCCUCGAAGCUAAAAUAGAAUUAAGUGUUCUUGAAGGUAAGUCUCUCAUAACUUGCUUCCAUAACCACAUAAGAAUGCAUGACUUGAUACGAGAUAUGGGAAGAGAAAUUGUUCGAAAUGAAUCUAUCGAACAUCCAGGAGAGCGCAGUAGGUUGUGGUAUCACGAGGAUAUUUAUGAAGUUUUGAAGAACAAUUCGGUGAGGAAUAAUAAGUUUUUAAUUGUAUCUUAUUUGUGUUACAUUUAUAUUAGCAAUUUGUCUGAAUAUGUCUUUUUGAAUAAGAAUAGCAUUAAUACAGCUUAAAAUUAAUUGAAAAAUAAUAUUAAAAAAUUGGUAAAAUGAAAUAGAUAGAUCCGAUGUUUCCCCAAGUCAGUUUGAAACAUGCCUCUAAAAUCCCCAGCAAACUAGCGCCUUCGGAGAGAGACUCAAAAAAAAAAAAAAAAAAACACCUCAAUCUUAUUGCAUUUUCUUUUCAACUCAAGCUCUGCCCCUAUCCUUAUUUUUCACUAAAAAAAUUUGAUUGAAUUAAUUUUACAGUUUACAUAUUAAGCAUUUUCUUGAAUUUUCUAUUUUACACUUCCUAAAAGCCUUACCCAAAUAGUUUAUUAUAAAGUGAUUGUAAUAUCUCUAUUUGGGUUUGACGGCUUAAAAAUAAUUGUUUAUUUGUUUGCUUCAAUUAUAUACCAACUUAUGAUCUCCUAUUUGAUUGUUAGGGAACUGAAAAAAUCAAGGGUAUCUUCUUGGAUAUGAAUAAAGUCAAUAGAGAGAUACACAUGAAUUCCGAUGCUUUCUCAAAGAUGCCUAACUUGAGAUUCUUGAGAAUCUAUGGAGAUGAGAACAAAUGUAUGGUCUCUCAUUUAGAGGGUGUGCCAUUUGCUGAAGUGAGGCACCUCGAGUGGGCUCAAUGUCCUUUGAAAACGUUGAAUAUAUGUGCGGAGAAACUUGUUUCACUUAAAAUGCCUCGCAGCAAAGUCCAACAACUUUGGGAUGAUGUUCAG